AUUGCAAGGAAGGGGACAACGAAAAGCUACUGAGCAGGAAGAGCUAGCAAACGGGGUGUGUUGGUGGAGCGCAGGGCCAGGCCCAGCUGCUGGCCGAGGGACAGUGGUGGCUUUGUACAGGGCCCCCUCCAGGCAGCCAACGCCCCCAGACCCACCCCCGGGCUGGCAGCUGCUGGGUGCGUGGGGGGCCCCUCCACACCUCUGUUCCUGAAGAAUAACUGGGAGAUGAAACAGGAAGCUCUAUGACACACUUGAUCGAAAAUGACACAGACCAAAAAAAAAAAAAAAAUCAGGACUCAGCCCCCUUCCAGCACCUCUACCUGCCGCCUGCUGCCCACGCCGGGAUGAGGUGGCAGGUCUGCCCUGGACCUGACUGACGUGUGGACUUCAAGGGCCUCUGCGUUUGCUGAUAUGUGUCUGCAGUAUUAUGUCAUGGUCUCGUCUGGCUGGCUUCCUAUGUAUCUGGCUGUCUCUAUGUGUCUUACUCCCUUUUUCUUCAUUAAAAGCAACAUUUUUUAAAAA